UCUGCCUCGCCUCACGCCGACCACGGCCAGCCGCUCACAACUCCUCACCGGGGCAUCUGGACUUCUUCUCCGCACAUGCCUGAACCACCUGAGCCUCGCUUCUUGCAUCUUCUCAUCCACCGGGGCCACCCCCACCUUCUGUCGAAUAACUUCAUUCUUAAUCUUAUCUAGCCUGGUGUGCCCACACAUCCACCUAAGCAUCCUCAUCUCAGCAACCUUCAUUCUCUGAACAUGCCAGCACUCCGCUCCAUACAACAUGGCAGGUCUAACCAUAGCUCUAAAAAAUUUUCCCUUGAGUUUUUGUGGCACUUUC
rnacentral:lncRNA from 1 species